UAGCCUGGUGGUUAAGGCUAUGGAUCGCCAAUCCGGAGACGGCGGGUUCAAUUCCCGU
rnacentral:tRNA from 1 species